rnacentral:rRNA from 1 species
AGAUUGAACGCUGGCGGCAUGCUUUACACAUGCAAGUCGAGCGGCAGCGCGGGGCUCAGGCAACUGAGUCCUGGCGGCGAGCGGCGAACGGGUGAGGAAUACAUCGGAACGUACCCCGGAGUGGGGGAUAACGCCGCGAAAGCGGCGCUAAUACCGCAUAUGCUCUGUGGAGGAAAGUGGGGGCUUCGCAAGGACCUCACGCUCUGGGCGCGGCCGAUGUCCGAUUAGCUAGUUGGUGAGGUAAUGGCUCACCAAGGCGACGAUCGGUAGCUGGUCUGAGAGGAUGAUCAGCCACACUGGGACUGAGACACGGCCCAGACUCC